CACUCCUGCGGGAGGCAGCAGUGGGGAAUUUUGGACAAUGGGCGAAAGCCUGAUCCAGCAAUGCCGCGUGCAGGAUGAAGGCCUUCGGGUUGUAAACUGCUUUUGUACGUAACGAAAAAGCUCCUUCUAAUACAGGGGGCCCAUGACGGUACCGUAAGAAUAAGCACCGGCUAACUACGUGCCAGCAGCCGCGGUAAUACGUAGGGUGCGAGCGUUAAUCGGAAUUACUGGGCGUAAAGCGUGCGCAGGCGGUUAUGUAAGACAGAUGUGAAAUCCCCGGGCUCAACCUGGGAACUGCAUUUGUGACUGCAUGGCUAGAGUACGGUAGAGGGGGAUGGAAUUCCGCGUGUAGCAGUGAAAUGCGUAGAUAUGCGGAGGAACACCGAUGGCGAAGGCAAUCCCCUGGACCUGUACUGACGCUCAUGCACGAAAGCGUGGGGAGCAAACAGGAUUAGAAACCCGGGUAGUCCCAUGAU
rnacentral:rRNA from 1 species